GGGUUAGUGGCGGACGGGUGAGUAACGCGUGGGUAACCUGCCUUACACAGGGGGAUAACACUUAGAAAUAGGUGCUAAAACCGCAUAAGCGCACAGCUUCGCAUGAAGCGGUGUGAAAAACUCCGGUGGUGUAAGAUGGACCCGCGUCUGAUUAGCUUGUUGGCGGGGUAACGGCCCACCAAGGCGACGAUCAGUAGCCGGCCUGAGAGGGCGGACGGCCACAUUGGGACUGAGACACGGCCCAGACUCCUACGGGAGGCAGCAG
rnacentral:rRNA from 1 species